CCACCACGGUGAUUUGUAAGCAACUCACUGUACUUUAGUAUCGGAUCAUCUGAGUUUCUAACUUAGUGAUGGAAGAAUACUGGGUGCAGUCAAGUACUUAUCAAGUCAGUAUGUGAGUCAAGAUAAAAUUGACCUCUCUGAAUUAGUAAGAGAUAUGCAUCAGUGUAUUUCAAUUUAGCAAAAUCUUGAUCAGGAUAAUCCAUGAGAUGG
rnacentral:lncRNA from 1 species